UACGUAGGUGGCAAGCGUUAUCCGGAAUUACUGGGUGUAAAGGGCGUGUAGGCGGAUAUACAAGUCUGAUGUGAAAUCUUGCGGCUUAACUGCAAGCUGUCAUAAGAAACUGUAUAUCUUGAGUGUCAGAGGGGAAAGUGGAAUUCCUAGUGGAGCGGUAAAAUGCGUAGAGAUCGGGAGGAACACCAGUGGCGAAGGCGGGUAACUGGACUGCAACUGACGCUGAGGCGCGAAAGUGUGGGGAGCAAACAGGAUUAGAUA
rnacentral:rRNA from 1 species